rnacentral:rRNA from 1 species
CUGGUGUACCAGUUGUGCCGCCAGGCGCAUCGCUGGGUAGCUAUGAACGGCAGGGAUAAACGCUGAAAGCAUCUAAGUGUGAAGCCCCCCUCGAGAUGAGAUUUCCCAUUCCUAUAUGGAAGUAAGAUCCCUGAGAGAUGAUCAGGUAGAUAGGCUGGAAGUGGAAGUGCAGCGAUGCAUGGAGCGGACCAGUACUAAUCGGUCGAGGACUUAACCAAG